AUCAGCCUAUUAAGCAAUCAAAGUGGCAAUCAGAGACUAAGAAUGAAAAAACCAAAAAGGAAAGAUUUGUUGUAGAGUACCCAGAAAUGAGAUAAAUCAAAAGGCUUUUCUGUUAAGUGUUAACUCCAAAUUCAAUCACCUAAAUAAAAGGGUUGUCACUGAUAAAAAAGAACUACAAAACGCAAGCAAUAAAUCAAACAUAAUCCCAAAAAUCAACGACCCCAGUUAGAGAAUCAUUUUAAUCAACAUCACAAAAUACUCACCCCAUCUAGCCAUCCCAAGAGAGAAAGAGAGAACGUACCAAUAAAUACAAAAUGUAAAAAUCGGUGAACCAGUUAACACCGAGGAACCCUCUUUCUGCGUACCUUCUCUCCAAUCAAAUCCUAUUAACAAAACCAAAUUCAAACCAGGAAAAGAAAAAAUAAAAACCCAUAAAUCAGAGUUCCAGAAAGAACAAAAAAAAGGAAAAAUUGUACGGAUGACCCAAUUUUAGGGUCCAAAAUGUCAAAUGACCAAUUUUUAAAAAAUAAUGUCAAUUGACCCUCUGCUUACGUCAUCACGGAAUGAGAUUACAAAAAUGUCCCUUUAGUCUAUAGCGCUCAAACUCAACGGUUGUCCCACUCCGUUCAAAAUUAGAGAAAACAAAUUGUUGUACGUGCAAGUGUCGUUCAUCUCGCUCUGCAAAACCAUCACUGUCGUAAUCGAAGUUCUCUACUGGUUGAUAGGUUUCUCGGGAAAGUAACUUGCCUGGCCCAUGUUGCCAAUGCCAACAAGAUUGUAAAGCAGAAGCUCACCGAAAGGCAGUUAGAGAUGUUUAAAAGAACAGUUUUUGGUCGAUUCCUAGACAUUGAACUUGUAUUCAACAGCCCUCUAAUCCACCAUAUGUUAUUGAGGAAAGUGAAGAACUCAGGAAUGGAUUCAAUCAGUUUCUUUGUUAGAGGAAAGGUCGUCACAUUUUCGAAGGAUGAUUUUUUGUUGAUCACUGGUUUGUGGCAGUCUCCUAUGCGAGUUAGAUGGAGUGAGGAGUCCUCACGCGAACUUUUUAUCAAGUACUUUGGUAGUCGGUUGGCCUUAGACGCAUUCCACUUGCAUUUGUUUGAAGAAGAAUACAAAGAAUUGGUAUUUGAAAAUGAUGAUGAUGCAGUGAAAAUUACCCUAGUAUACUAUACAUAGGUUGCAAUGAUGAGUAAAAACAAGCAAAAGAAUGUUGUGGAUCGUACCCUAUUUGACGAUGUUGAGGACAUAGACUACUACAGCUCUCUUGAUUGGGGUACAAUCAUUUGUCAAAGGACAAUUGACUCCCUGAAGACCGCACUUAAAGACAAGGUUGGUCUAUACAAGGAGAAGGUGGGGGGAAAUAAAAAUUAUGUUGUGAAGUACUCGCUCCUGGAUUUCCCCAAGCAUUCCAGGUGUGAACGUACGAGAUCCUUUCGUCAAUAGCAGGAAACGUUGCCACUCGAAAGAGAAAGGUAGCGAUUCCUCGUAUAUUACAGUGGUCAUGCUCCCACUCGGUGUCAUUCAAAACACUCGAGAGAGACAUUUUUUAGUCUGAAAAUAUAAGUGUAAUCUAUGU